GACGAACGCUGGCGGCGUGCCUAACACAUGCAAGUCGAACGGUAAGGCCCUUCGGGGUACAUGAGUGGCGAACGGGUGAGUAACACGUGGGUGAUCUGCCCUGCACUUCGGGAUAAGCCUGGGAAACUGGGUCUAAUACCGGAUAGGACCACUGCCUGCAUGGGUGGUGGUGGAAAGCUUUUGCGGUGUGGGAUGGGCCCGCGGCCUAUCAGCUUGUUGGUGGGGUGAUGGCCUACCAAGGCGACGACGGGUAGCCGGCCUGAGAGGGUGACCGACCAGACGGGGACUGAGAUACGGCCCAGGCUCCUAGGGGAGGCAGCAGUGGGGAAUAUUGCACAAUGGGCGCAAGCCUGAUGCAGCGACGCCGCGUGAGGGAUGACGGCCUUCGGGUUGUAAACCUCUCUCAGCACCGACGAAGCGCAAGUGACGGUAGGUGCAGAAGAAGGACCGGCCAACUACGUGCCAGCCGCCGCCGUAA
rnacentral:rRNA from 1 species